rnacentral:rRNA from 1 species
GACGAACGCUGGCGGCGUGCUUAACACAUGCAAGUCGAACGGUAAGGCCCUGCUCUUGUGGGGUGCUCGAGUGGCGAACGGGUGAGUAACACGUGAGUAACCUGCCCUUUACUUUGGGAUAACUUCAUGAAACUGGGGCUAAUACCGGAUAUGAGCUCCUUCUGCAUGGUUUGUGUUUUAAAGUUUCGGCGGUUGGGGAUGGACGCGCGGCUUAUCAGCUUGUUGGUGGGGUAGUGGCUUACCAAGGCUUUGACGGGUAGCCGGACUGAGAGGGUGACAGGCCACAUAGGGACUGAGAUACGAGCAAGACUCAUACGGGAGGAAGCAGUGGGGAAUAGUGCAAAAUGGGCGGAAGCAUGAAGCAGCAACGCCGCGUGGGGGAUGACGGCCGUCGGGUUGUAAACCGCGUUCGCCUGUGAAGAAGAGUGAGUGACGGUAAUGGGUAAAGAAGCAACGGCUAACUACGUG